rnacentral:tRNA from 1 species
GGAGAUGUAGCUCAGUGGUAGAGCACUUGCCUGGCGUGUAUUAGUCCUAGGGCUCCAUUUCCA